CCUACGGGAGGCAGCAGUGGGGAAUAUUGCACAAUGGGGGAAACCCUGAUGCAGCGACGCCGCGUGAGCGAUGAAGUAUUUCGUGAUGUAAAGCUCUAUCAGCCGGGAAGAAAAUGACGGUACCUGACUAAGCAGCCACGGCUAACUACGUGCCAGCAGCCGCGGUAAUACGUAGGGGGAACGCGUUAUCCGGAUUUACUGGGUGUAAAGGGAGCGUAGACGGCUGUGCCAGCCAGAUGUGAAAGCCCGGGGCUCAACCCCGGGACGGCAUUUGGAACUGUGUGGCUGGAGUGUCGGAGAGGCAGGCGGAAUUCCUGGUGUAGCGGUGAAAUGCGUAGAGAUUAGGAGGAACACCAGUGGCGAAGGCGGCCUGCUGGACGAUGACUGACGUUGAGGCUCGAAAGCGUGGGGAGCAAACAGGAUUAGAUACCCGAGUAGUC
rnacentral:rRNA from 1 species